rnacentral:rRNA from 1 species
GACGAACGCUGGCGGCGUGCUUAACACAUGCCAGUCGAACGGAAAGGCCCUGCUUUUGUGGGGUGCUCGAGUGGCGAACGGGUGAGUAACACGUGAGUAACCUGCCCUUGACUUUGGGAUAACUUCAGGAAACUGGGGCUAAUACCGGAUAGGAGCUCCUGCUGCAUGGUGGGGGUUGGAAAGUUUCGGCGGUUGGGGAUGGACUCGCGGCUUAUCAGCUUGUUGGUGGGGUAGUGGCUUACCAAGGCUUUGACGGGUAGCCGGCCUGAGAGGGUGACCGGCCACAUUGGGACUGAGAUACGGCCCAGACUCCUACGGGAGGCAGCAGUGGGGAAUAUUGCACAAUGGGCGGAAGCCUGAUGCAGCAACGCCGCGUGCGGGAUGACGGACUUCGGGUUGUAAACCGCUUUCGCCUGUGACGAAGCGUGAGUGACGGUAAUGGGUAAAGAAGCACCGGCUAACUACGUG